GACGUAGGUGGCGAACGUUAUCCGGAAUUAUUGGGCGUAAAGGGUGCGUAGGCGGCAUGAUAAGUUAUUGGCGGCAAAUCGAGGCUCAACCUCGUGGAAACUGAUAAUACUGUCUUGCUUGAGUGCAGAAGAGGUUAACGGAACUCCAUGUGGAGCGGUAAAAUGUGUAGAUAUAUGGAAGAACAUCAAUAACGGCGAAGGCAGUUAAACUA
rnacentral:rRNA from 1 species